CUUUAUGAAUUAAUAUAAAGUCGAACCUGCCCACUGAUAAUUUAAAGGGCUGCGGUAUUUUGACCGUGCAAAGGUAGCAUAAUCAAUAGUCUUUUAAUUGAAGGCUGGAAUGAAUGGUUUGACGAAAUAACAACUGUCUUAAUUUAAAUAAAUAAAAUUUUAUUUUUAAGUUAAAAAGCUUAAAUUUUUAAAAGGGACGAGAAGACCCUAUAGAUUUUUAUAAUAUAAUUUAAAUUUGAAUGUAGAAAAUUAUAAUUUAUUUAUAAUAUUUAAUUGGGGUGAUGAGAGAAUAAAAUAACUUCUUUUGAAUUUAACAAUAAUUAUUGAGUUUUUGAUCCUUUAAUAGAGAUUAUAAGAUUAAAAUACCUUAGGGAUAACAGCGUAAUUUUAUUUGAGAGUUCUUAUCGAUAAUAAAGAUUGCGACCUCGAUGUUGGAUUAAGAAUAUUAUUUGGUGCAGUAAUUAAAAUAAAUAAGUCUGUUC
rnacentral:rRNA from 1 species